GUAGUCAUAUGCUUGUCUCAAAGAUUAAGCCAUGCAUGUCUAAGUAUAAGCAAAUUUAUACCGUGAAACUGCGAAUGGCUCAUUAAAUCAGUUAUCGUUUAUUUGAUAGUACCUUACUACUUGAUAACCGUGGUAAUUCUAGAGCUAAUACAUGCUAAAAGCCCCGACUUCGGAAGGGGUGUAUUUAUUAGAUUAAAAACCAAUGCCCUUCGGGGCUCUUUGGUGAUUCAUAAUAACUUAACGAAUCGCAUGGCCUUGUGCCGGCGAUGGUUCAUUCAAAUUUCUGCCCUAUCAACUUUCGAUGGUAGUAUAUGGGACUACCAUGGUUUCAACGGGUAACGGGGAAU
rnacentral:rRNA from 1 species